UCAACGGCUCUUUUCAGAGCCACCCACAGAUCUCACUAAAAAGAG
rnacentral:ncRNA from 1 species